GGAAAGAGGGGCGCAGGGAGCGAGGGGCGGGGGAGGGGCGCCUGCCUGCGCACAGCAGAUGUUGCCGCUCCUCGGAUGGAGCUGUUAAUGUAAGUGGAGUUUCUGCAAUGGUAAUUAGGAGGGCCCUCAUUACCCUGGCGGAGCCGGCUGAGAGCCGAUAAAGCCGAGGGGGAGAGGGGCCGACAUCAGGGUAAUGGGGGAGCAGGGCCAUUGAAGAGCUGGAGCCGAGCCGGGGACCGCUCCGCGCACAGCUGGAGCCCGGCAAGAGGGCCGCGGAAGGGGGGUGCGGACCGGGCCCGGAGCCUGGGGAGGAGCCGGGAGGCGAGCGGCGAGGGGCGCGGCGCGGCCGGGUCUGCCCCCGGGCUUCGCACCGCGAAGCGGGUCGAAGUACCGCGAGUUGGCCCUGACUGUCUGCAGGAUGAAGGUGUUGAGGAGGGUUCCAGGCCGGCGUGCCUGCCUCGCCUCCAGCCCUGGUAUUCUAGGAUGGGCCUCCAGCGCUUUCCAGGCUAACUCAACGAGCCCAGUCUUCUUAGUCAACUGAGAGCCAUGUCUACAGUACAGACCGUGUGGCCAUCUCCUCCUCCUCCCACUGUCUCAGGCAAAAGGACUCUGGGAACAGGCAAGAGGACUCUGGGAAGACAUCCAGGAGGCAAGGAGUCGGUAGCCAGGGCAGAGAGAGAGAAACUGUGGGGGUCUGUACAGGCCACAUCCAGCAGAGGACCCCCACACCCUUUUCAUCCCUUCUUCACAUCCCUCCACCCACAGCUGCCUUCAGAAGCCCAAGGUCAUUGGCCCUGCCACUGUGGUUUGCCAACUCCUAAGGACCACAUAAGCCCAACUGUUAUGGAAAGGGUGGAACAGAGAGAGGGGCUUCUUUUCCUUCAGGCUUUGGGGAAGGCAAAGGCAAGUCCUGCCACUGCCCACUCCAGAGACAGCCGUGUCUUCCAGGUGACUAAAGGCAUGUAAUGGUUCUGAGGAGACCAGGACUGUGGGGAGCUCCUGGGCUGGGUGGGGGGAGCUCCUGGGGUUGGGGGGAGCUCCUGGGGUUGGGGAGAGCCCCAGAUGCCGCUCCCCUCUUGAGCUGCAUGGCAGAGCAGGGGUUAACGGGGAGAGGCUGCAAGGCUGGAGCUGCAAGGCUGGAGCUGCGAGGCUGGAGCAGGCGGUGGCUCCCGCCUCCUCACCACCCCCCCUCAAGAGUUGCUGACUCUUCCUUUUUGUUCGGGCUGACAGCGAGCACCUGGUGUGCUCCUGCAACAAUAUUGUUCCUGCCUCCCUUCCCCCAGGCCCCAGGCUCCCUUCCCUCUCCCCCUCCCCACCCGCCGGCAACCUUCCCCUCUGCCUCCUCUUUCCCUUGCCCCCUCCUGCCUGUGGCCUCCUAGGCACCCCCCCUACCACAACCACCACAAGCACCGACCCUGCAGUGUCAAUAAACACAACAUAUGCUGCCAUUAAUGUGAAAA